GAGGGUAUAGCUCAAGUGAUAGAGCACACGCUUUGCAUGCAGGAGGUCCUGGGUUCAAUCCCCAGUUACCUCC
rnacentral:tRNA from 1 species